ACGGGAGGCAGCAGUGGGGGAUAUUGCACAAUGGGGGAAACCCUGAUGCAGCGACGCCGCGUGAGUGAAGAAGUAUUUCGGUAUGUAAAGCUCUAUCAGCAGGGAAGAAGAAAUGACGGUACCUGACUAAGAAGCCCCGGCUAACUACGUGCCAGCAGCCGCGGUAAUACGUAGGGGGCAAGCGUUAUCCGGAUUUACUGGGUGUAAAGGGAGCGCAGACGGUCAUGCAAGUCAGGAGUGAAAUCCCCGGGCCCAACCCGGGAACUGCUCUUGAAACUGUAGGACUGGAGUGCCGGAGAGGUAAGCGGAAUUCCUAGUGUAGCGGUGAAAUGCGUAGAUAUUAGGAGGAACACCAGUGGCGAAGGCGGCUUACUGGACGGUAACUGACGUUGAGGCUCGAAAGCGUGGGGAGCAAACAGGAUUAGAUACCCUGGUA
rnacentral:rRNA from 2 species